GUGCACACCGAAUCAUUUACUCUAUCGUCUAUAAAAAGCAUCAUUUUUUCUACUUCACUCCACCAUUUCACAAACCCUAGCAAGUCUUUUCAUUUCCUCUACGUUUCUCUCGUCUUCGCCGAUUAAAGGAGAUGUCGGACCAACGCCACUACAUUGGCCUUGUUGAGGUUGUCCCAAGCAAUGCAGUGAGCACGAAGCAAAGUGGAACAAGUAUUGGAAACUAUGAGAAGACCACAAGGAACAACAUUUGCGACAAACAGAGUGGGAGUUAUCUGCGCCAGACUGCUAAGGAGUCAUACUCUAGUGGGGAUUACUCCAACAGGGGGAAAACUGGAUACAAGAAUGAAUACAAGACUAGUGAGACUGUCAAGGUUGGUGACAAAGGGGGUUACACUGAGUACUUCAAGCAGGAGAGAGUCACUCGGGUUAACUAUGACAGUGGCAGCCACUCUGGAGGCAGCAAGGGCGGAUAUGGUGGUGGCAAGAAGUAUCUUCACUGAAGGUUCUUAGGUCGUCUUUUAUCUGAAAUAAAAAUGACUUUUGAAACUUUUGAAUUGUGUUGAUAUGCAGGUUUAAUCUCCAAAUUUAGAGCUGGUUUUCUUCUAGUUUUGAAGAUAGAAAUUCAAAAACUGUUUGAAGCUCAUGGUUGAAUGUUACCACGGUUUUCUCGAACAAGUUGCAUAUUUUAUGUUCUCGUCAAAUUUAUAUCCAACAUGUGCAAAUAGUUCAUAUUUUA